AAGCCUGAUGCAGCCAUGCCGCGUGUGUGAAGAAGGCCUUCGGGUUGUAAAGCACUUUCAGCGGGGAGGAAGGCGAUAAGGUUAAUAACCUUGUCGAUUGACGUUACCCGCAGAAGAAGCACCGGCUAACUCCGUGCCAGCAGCCGCGGUAAUACGGAGGGUGCAAGCGUUAAUCGGAAUUACUGGGCGUAAAGCGCACGCAGGCGGUCUGUCAAGUCGGAUGUGAAAUCCCCGGGCUCAACCUGGGAACUGCAUUCGAAACUGGCAGGCUAGAGUCUUGUAGAGGGGGGUAG
rnacentral:rRNA from 1 species